rnacentral:lncRNA from 1 species
GGACCUAACAAUUUUAGAGAAUUUAAUUAGUUGAAUUGAGAGAAGAGAAAAGACUUGACCAGUUAAUCUUAAACCUCCCACUGACUUCACCAAGUCAGAUUAAAGAAAAUUAGGCAAAAGCUGGUCCAGCCAACCAGUCAUAAAUCCUCCCACUAACUUUACCAAGUCAUGAAGAGGACUCAAGACAAGUUGAACUAAGGGCACCA